rnacentral:rRNA from 1 species
CUGGAGGUAUCAGAAGUGCGAAUGCUGACAUAAGUAACGAUAAUGCGGGUGAAAAACCCGCACGCCGGAAGACCAAGGGUUCCUGUCCAACGUUAAUCGGGGCAGGGUGAGUCGACCCCUAAGGCGAGGCUGAAAAGCGUAGUCGAUGGGAAACGGGUUAAUAUUCCCGUACUGGUGGUAACUGCGAUGGGGGAACGGAGAAGGCUAGGUUGUCCGGGCGACGGUCGUCCCGGUUCAAGCAGGUAGGCAGAGUGAUUAGGCAAAUCCGGUCACUUAAUGCUGAGAUGUGAUGACGAACCACCAAGGUGGUGAAGCAAUUGAUGCCCCGCUUCCAGGAAAAGCCUCUAAGCUUCAGGUUACCAACAAUCGUACCCCAAACCGACACAGGUGGUCAGGUAGAGAAUACUCAGGCGCUUGAGAGAACUCGGGUGAAGGAACUAGGCAAAAUGGUGCCGUAACUUCGGGAGAAGGCACGCUGGCGGUAGGUAAAGUCCCUCGCGGACGGCGCUGAAGCCAGUCGAAGAUACCAGCUGGCUGCAACUGUUUAUUAAAAACACAGCACUGUGCAAACACGAAAGUGGACGUAUACGGUGUGACGCCUGCCCGGUGCUGGAAGGUUAAUUGAUGGGGUCAGCCGUAAGGCGAAGCUCCUGAUCGAAGCCCCAGUAAACGGCGGCCGUAACUAUAACGGUCCUAAGGUAGCGAAAUUCCUUGUCGGGUAAGUUCCGACCUGCACGAAUGGCGUAAUGAUGGCCAGGCUGUCUCCACCCGAGACUCAGUGAAAUUGAACUCGCUGUGAAGAUGCAGUGUACCCGCGGCAAGACGGAAAGACCCCGUGAACCUUUACUAUAGCUUGACACUGAACAUUGAGCCUUGAUGUGUAGGAUAGGUGGGAGGCUUUGAAGUGUGGACGCCAGUCUGCAUGGAGCCAACCUUGAAAUACCACCCUUUAACGUUUGAUGUUCUAACCUAGGCCCAUAAACUGGGUCGGGGACCGUGUCUGGUGGGUAGUUUGACUGGGGCGGUCUCCUCCUAAAGAGUAACGGAGGAGCACGAAGGUUGGCUAAGCAUGGUCGGACAUCAUGCGGUUAGUGCAAAGGCAUAAGCCAGCUUGACUGCGAGAGUGACGGCUCGAGCAGGUACGAAAGUAGGUCUUAGUGAUCCGGUGGUUCUGAAUGGAAGGGCCAUCGCUCAACGGAUAAAAGGUACUCCGGGGAUAACAGGCUGAUACCGCCCAAGAGUUCAUAUCGACGGCGGUGUUUGGCACCUCGAUGUCGGCUCAUCACAUCCUGGGGCUGAAGUAGGUCCCAAGGGUAUGGCUGUUCGCCAUUUAAAGUGGUACGCGAGCUGGGUUUAGAACGUCGUGAGACAGUUCGGUCCCUAUCUGCCGUGGGCGUUGGAAGAUUGAGAGGGGUUGCUCCUAGUACGAGAGGACCGGAGUGAACGCACCACUGGUGUUCGGGUUGUCAUGCCAAUGGCAUUGCCCGGUAGCUAAGUGCGGAAGAGAUAACCGCUGAAAGCAUCUAAGCGGGAAACUUGCCUCGAGAUGAGUCUUCCCUGUCGCUUUAAGUGACCUAAAGGAACGUUUAAGACUAAGACGUUGAUAGGCUGGGUGUGUAAGCGUAGCGAUACGUUGAGCUAACCAGUACUAAUGAACCGUGAGGCUUAACCUG